rnacentral:rRNA from 1 species
AUGCUUCCCGCACUGAGCACCCGUCCUCUACACAGUCAGGAUCGUUGCACGCACACUCUGGUUGGGGCUGGCCCUCGCCGCUGUGAUUCUCAGGGUCUUUGGGAGUUGGACUGGCUUCAUGUUCCUUCCGCUGCCACCACCAUCGCCAGUUCCUCCGCUGCUGUCGCUUCUGUUACUGGUUCCUUCAAGCAGUGGCAUCAUCGACUUGGUCAUCUGUGUGGUUCUCGAUUAUCGUCUUUAGUUCGUCGAGGCCUUCUGGGGUCUGUCUCAGGAGAUGUCUCUUUAGAGUGUCAGGGUUGUCGUCUUGGCAAGCAGAUUCAGCUACCAUAUUCUCAUAGUGAGUCAGUGUCUCAGCGUCCUUUCGAUUUAGUCCAUUCUGAUGUAUGGGGUCCGGCUCCUUUCACUUCGAAAGGUGGUCAUAAAUACUAUAUUAUUUUCAUCGAUGAUUUUUCUCGUUACACAUGGCUUUAUUUCAUGACUUCACGUAGUGAGGUGUUAUCUAUUUAUAAGCGUUUUGCUGCCAUGGUUCAUACUCAGUUCUCUUCACCCAUUCGUGUUUUUCGUGCUGACUCCGCUGGUGAGUAUAUCUCUAAGAUGUUGCGUGGUGUUCUUGCUGAGCAGGGUACUCUUGCCCAGUUCUCUUGUCCUGGUGCUCAUGCUCAGAAUGGUGUGUCUGAGCGUAAGCAUCGUCACCUUCUUGAGACGGCUCGUGCUAUGAUGAUCGCCGUCUCUCUUCCGCCUCAUUUUUGGGCCGAGGCUAUCUCCACUUCUGUCUAUCUCAUCAACCUUCAGCCAUCUGCUGCUUUGCAGGGUGGUGUUCCUUUUGAGCGUCUGUUUGAUCGCUCUCCCGAUUAUUCGAUGCUUCGCUUGUUUGGUUGUGUUUGCUAUGUUCUUCUUGCCCCUCGCGAACGCACCAAACUGACCGCUCAGUCUGUUGAGUGUGUCUUCUUAGGCUACAGUGAUGAGCAUAAGGGCUAUCGUUGUUGGGAUCCUGUCGGUCGUCGGAUGCGUAUCUCUCGAGAUGUGACUUUUGAUGAGUCUCGUCCUUUUUAUCCACGCUCAUCUUCCUCGGUCUUUUUCGUGGAGGAUAUCUCUUUUCUCACUUUUCCUGACUCCCCUAUCACUCCUGUCGCGCCUGUGCCUAUUCGUCCCACUCUCUCUGCUUCUCCACCCCUCGUCGAUUCACCGCCACCAUCUUCCCCGGUUUCCUCACCUAGCAUGUCCCCGGAUUCUACACCUUCAUCUCCGGUGACUUCUUCGUCGCCACCCCCUGCUUCUCCCUUGGCGAUUCCUCCUUCUCUUGUUCCAUCUCUUCCUCAGCAUUACACUCGUCGUUCACGACCUGUGGAUGCUUCCUUGGAUGAUUCGUCCUCUUCCUCUCAGCCUACUUAUGGCUUGCGUUCUCGUCCUCGUCCGCCUAUUGAUCACUUUGGGUUUCCCACCGCUGGUGCUGCUGUUCUUGAGCCGACUUCUUACCGUCAGGCUGUUGUUCAUCCUGAAUGGCAGUUUGCGAUGGCAGAGGAGAUUGCUGCUCUUGAACGCACUGGUACCUGGGAUCUUGUUUCUCUUCCUCCCGGAGUCCGUCCCAUCACUUGUAAGUGGGUCUACAAGGUUAAGACUCGCUCCGAUGGUUCUCUUGAGCGUCACAAAGCUCGUCUCGUGGCUCGUGGUUUUCAGCAGGAGCAUGGUCGUGAUUAUGACGAGACUUUUGCUCCUGUGGCCCAUAUGACCACUAUUCGUACACUUCUUGCUGUUGCCUCUGCACGCCACUGGUCUAUAUCUCAGCUUGAUGUUAAGAAUGCCUUUCUUAAUGGUGAGCUGCGUGAGGAGGUGUACAUGCAGCCACCACCUGAGUAUUCUGUUUCUGAUGGCAUGGUGUGUCGUCUUCGUCGCUCUCUCUAUGGCCUUAAGCAAGCCCCUCGCGCCUGGUUUGAGCGUUUUGCUUCUGUGGUCACUACUGCUGGUUUUUCAGCAAGUGUUCAUGAUCCCGCAUUGUUUAUUCAUCUUUCUCCUCGUGGCCGGACUAUUCUUCUUCUCUAUGUUGAUGAUAUGGUCAUCACUGGGGAUGACCCCGAGUAUAUUGCCUUUGUCAAGGCCCGUCUUAGUGAGCAGUUUCUUAUGUCUGAUCUUGGACCUCUUCGCUAUUUUCUUGGGAUUGAAGUCUCUUCUGCCUCUGAUGGCUUUUUUAUAUCCCAGGAAAAGUAUAUCCAGGAUCUUCUUGCUCGUGCUGCUCUUUCUGACGAACGCACUGUUGAGACUCCUAUGGAGCUCAAUGUUCACCUUCGUGCUACUGAUGGUGAUCCUCUCCUUGACCCGACGCGUUAUCGUCAUCUCGUUGGCAGUCUUGUCUAUCUAGCUGUCACUCGUCCGGACAUCUCUUAUCCGGUUCAUAUUCUGAGUCAGUUUGUUUCUGCUCCCACAUCGGUUCAUUAUAGUCAUCUUCUUCGUGUUCUCCGAUAUCUUCGGGGCACGAUCUCACACCGUCUCUUCUUUCCUAGCUCCAGUUCUUUACAGCUUCAGGCCUAUGCGGAUGCUACGUGGGCUAGUGAUCCUUCUGAUCGCCGUUCGCUUUCUGCUUACUGUGUUUUUCUUGGCGGUUCUCUCAUUGCCUGGAAGACGAAGAAACAGAUUGCAGUUUCCCGUUCGAGUGCUGAGGCUGAGUUGCGAGCUAUGGCUCUUUUGACGGCAGAGGUGACUUGGUUACGGUGGUUACUUCAGGACUUUGGUGUUUCUGUUACUACACCGACUAUGCUCUUAUCUGACAGUACAGGUGCUAUUAGCAUUGCGCGUGAUCCUGUGAAGCAUGAGCUCACCAAGCAUAUUGGUGUUGAUCCUUUCUAUGUGCGCGCUGCUGUGCAGGAUUAG